rnacentral:lncRNA from 1 species
CACUUUAUCUGCCCAACUGUUAGCCGUAAAGUCAACAACGUUGCUCAUAACUUUGCCGCUCUUCGACGUCCGCUGUUCAAUCACAUAACCCAUUGGGUUAUGCCCCAACUCUUUCGCCUCUUGCAUAUGUUUGUUAAUCAAAUCCUCAGAUUGUUGAUUACGUUCCACCUCCUCUGUUCCACGCAGCCUAGAUUUAAUUGUUCUUGCCGGCGGGUCC